rnacentral:rRNA from 1 species
AGAGUUUGAUCCUGGCUCAGAUUGAACGCUGGCGGCAUGCCUUACACAUGCAAGUCGAACGGCAGCACGGGGGCAACCCUGGUGGCGAGUGGCGAACGGGUGAGUAACAUAUCGGAACAUACCCUAGAGUGGGGGAUAACGUAGCGAAAGUUACGCUAAUACCGCAUACGAUCUAAGGAUGAAAUGGGGGGAUCUUCGGACCUCAUGCUCAUGGAGUGGCCGAUAUCUGAUUAGCUAGUUGGUGAGGUAAAGGCUCACCAAGGCGACGAUCAGUAGCUGGUUUGAGAGAACGACCAGCCACACUGGAACUGAGACACGGUCCAGACUCCUACGGGAGGCAGCAGUGGGGAAUUUUGGACAAUGGGGGCAACCCUGAUCCAGCAAUGCCGCGUGAGUGAAGAAGGCCUUCGGGUUGUAAAGCUCUUUUGUCAGGGAAGAAACGGUGAGUUCUAAUACAGCUUGCUAAUGACGGUACCUGAAGAAUAAGCACCGGCUAACUACGUG